CACACCUCUAAAAGUAAUAAGUAUGCAAUUAUGAAUUUACUCAAUUACGUCAGGUCAAAGUGCAGCUUAUGGGGGGGUGAUGAUGGGUUACAACCUAAAGAAAGAUACACGGAUCAUGAAAUUAAAAUUCAUGUAAAGGUGGACUUGGAGGUAAUAAUAAUUCUCUAGUUAUAAUGAAAAUGAAUCUAAGACAUGCACACAUCGCCCGUCACUCUCGCCCAAAGGCGAGAUAAGUCGUAACAAAGUAGGCGUAACGGAAGUUGCGCCUGU
rnacentral:rRNA from 1 species